GCCUCCGUAGCAUAGUAGCUAUUGCGUCUGACUUGUAAUCAGAAGGUCGGGAGUGCAAAUCUCCCCGGGGGCU
rnacentral:tRNA from 1 species